GGGGGUGUAGCUCAGUGGUAAAUCAUGAAUUUUGUACAUACAAGGUCCUGAGCUCAAUCCUCAACACCAAAA
rnacentral:tRNA from 1 species